rnacentral:rRNA from 2 species
AGCAGCCGCGGUAAUUCCAGCUCCAAUAGCGUAUAUUAAAGUUGUUGCAGUUAAAAAGCUCGUAGUUGAAUUUCGGGAUCAGUAGGUCGGUCAUGCCUCUGGUAUGUACUGGCCUCACUGGUUCCUCCUUCCUGAUGAACCGUAAUGCCAUUAAUUUGGUGUUGCGGGGAAACUGGACUGUUACUUUGAAAAAUUAGAGUGUUUAAAGCAGGCUAACGCUUGAAUACAUUAGCAUGGAAUAAUGAAAUAGGACGAUCGAUCCUAUUUUGUUGGUUUCUAGGAUUGACGUAAUGAUUAAUAGGGAUAGUUGGGGGCAUUAGUAUUCAAUUGUCAGAGGUGAAAUUCUUGGAUUUAUUGAAGACUAACUACUGCGAAAGCAUUUGCCAAGGAUGUUUUCAUUAAUCAAGAACGAAAGUUAGGGGAUCGAAGACGAUCAGAUACCGUCGUAGU